rnacentral:rRNA from 1 species
UAUUCUAUUAAGGAUUAUUGUGGUUAUUAUAACAUAUUGGAUUAGUAUUAUGAGUGAAAAUUUUAGUUUAUUUAUAGAGUAAAGAGUACUGUUUAGGAAAUUGAUAAUUUGUAUUAAAUAUUAGGUUUUUUAUUACCUUUUGUAUUAGGGUUUUUUAAUUAAAUAUAAAGUUAUUUAUUUCUUGAUGAAUAUCGAGCUAUUAUUUAAGAGUAUUGGUUUUGUUGCAUAAAAUUUUUUAUUAUUUAAUGGUUAUGAAAUAUUAUUCAAGUUAUUUUUUAUCUAGUUUUCUAAGGAGUAUAAUGGUAGAUAUUAAUAUUAUGGAGGUAAGCGGGGAUUAGCUUGUUUAUUUUUUAUAUAUUUAGUUUUAUGUUGUUUAUUGGUGAAGUUGAAAGUUCUUAGUUUUAUGAUGUUAUUAUAAAUUAAAUUUUAUUUGUUAAUUUUUUUUAAUUAUGUUUGAAUUAGAAAUGUUAUUAUAAUUUUAAUUUUUAUGAUAUAAUGAUAAAAUUAGUAAUAUGUAAUUUAUAAAAUUGGUUGUUGAAUUAUUAUAAACAAUAGGUUAUGAGGGUAUAUUAAGGAUGAAGAAUUCGGCAAAAAUUAACCUCUGACUGUUUAGCAAAAACAUUGUUUUUUGUUAAUAUAAAAAAUAAGUUCUGUCCGCUGCUGUUUAGUGAAGGGCUGCAGUAUUUUGACUGUAUGAAGGUAGCAUAAUCAUUAGCUUUUUAAUUGUGAGCUGGUAUGAAGGUGAAACAGGGGUUGACUAUUUUGUUUUUAAUUAGUGAAUUUUAUAUUUAUGUGAAAAAUCAUGAGUGUGUUAAAGGGACAAGAAGACCCUAGUAAGUUUUAUUUUCUAUUAUAAUGCAUAUAUAGGUUUUAAAAUUAGUAUAAUUUAUGGUUUGGAGGUUUGACUGGGGCGGUAUGUUAAGAAACAUUAUUUAUUUUUUAAUUUUUGAUAGCGAUUUUUGGACCUAAGUAGGUUAGUUGAGUGUAAAACUACUGUAGGGAUAACAGCGUAAUUUUUUUUGAGAGUUCUUAUUGACAGAAAAGUUUGCGACCUCGAU